rfam:Macrostomum lignano uti_cns_0009492, whole genome shotgun sequence.
AAAGAAAUAGAAAUGCUUUUUAAAAAUGUGUUUUCCGUAUAAUUAAAGGAUUCACAUAAAUCCUGAGAAACGGCUACCGCAUCUAAGGAAGGCAGCAGGUGCGCAAAUUAUCCACUCCCGGUACGGGGAGGUAGUGAC